AGUGAACGCUGGCGGUAGGCCUAACACAUGCAAGUCGAACGGCAGCAGAGUGCGUGCUUGUUCAUACGGCGGCCGAGGGGCGGAUGGGUGCGAGAAACCUGCGAGUCUGCUUUUUAGAGCGGGCGAACGUAGGGGCUAAUACGCCAUUCGCGCAUAGGACGUACGGGGGGAAUCUUGGGACCUUCCGCUCUUGGGUGAUUCUAUGUCGGAUUAGCUAGUUGGCGGGGUAAAGGCCUACCAAGGCGACGAUCCGUAACUGGUCUGAGAGGAUGAUCAGUCACACUGGAACUGAGACACGGUCCAGACUCCUACGGGAGGCAGCAGUGGGGAAUAUUGGACAAUGGGCGAAAGCCUGAUCCAGCCAUGCCGCGUGUGUGAAGAAGGUCUUCGGAUUGUAAAGCCCUUUUGGUGGGGAGGAAGGGCAGUAAGUUAAUACCUCGCUGUUUUGACGUUACCCAAAGAAUAAGCACCGGCUAACUUCGUG
rnacentral:rRNA from 1 species